UACAGAGGGCUCAAGCGUUGUUCGGAUUCAUUGGGCGUAAAGGGUGCGUAGGCGGCAGUGCAAGUCAGGUGUGAAAUCCCGGGGCUCAACCCCGGAACUGCACUUGAUACUGCUCUGCUAGAGUACUGGAGAGGAGACUGGAAUUUACGGUGUAGCAGUGAAAUGCGUAGAUAUCGUAAGGAAGACCAGUGGCGAAGGCGAGUCUCUGGACAGUUACUGACGCUGAGGCACGAAGGCCAGGGGAGCAAACGGG
rnacentral:rRNA from 1 species